CAAUAGCGUAUAUUAAAGUUGUUGCAGUUAGAACGCUCGUAGUCGGAUUUCGGGGCGGGCCGACCGGUCUGCCGAUGGGUACGCACUGGUCGGCGCGUCCUUCCUUCCGGAGACCGUGCCUACUCUUAACUGAGCGGGGGCGGGGGACGGAUCGUUUACUUUGAAAAAAUCAGAGUGUUUCAAGCAGGCAGCUCGCUCUUGCAUGGAUUAGCAUGGGAUAAUGAAAUAGGACUUUGGUGCUAUUUUGUUGGUUUCGAACACCGAAGUAAUGAUUAAAAGGGACAGUCAGGGGCACUCGUAUUCCGCCGAGAGAGGUGAAAUUCUCAGACCAGCGGAAGACGAACUACUGCGAAAGCAUUUGCCAGGGAUGUUUUCACUGA
rnacentral:rRNA from 1 species